AGUGGGGGAGGGAAGGGGGGCUAGUGGGGCACGAGCCCAUCCCUCCUAAAAGUUUCUUAUGCGUGUGUAUAUAGAGUCAUUCUUAGUGUAUAUACCCAGUCGAUUCAUUUUAGUUAAAAUUAUGAUGAAUUUCAUAUAACAAUACAUGUAUGUAAUUUUUUAUUGGUUAGAUGUUUGUACAUUGUGGUGUAGAUGAGAAAUUUCAGUGUUUAUAUAUAUAUACAUAUA
rnacentral:misc_RNA from 1 species